rnacentral:lncRNA from 1 species
GGUUGUCAUAAUGGUUGCCAGGGGAAUUGGGGUGGGGGUGUUGACUGGAAAGGGGCAGGAGAAAAGUCCCUGUGGCUAAUGGAAAUGUUGUUUAUCUUGAUCUGGGUAAAGAUUACACAGGACUGCUUUCCUCUGGCUCUAUGAGUUGAACCUGGCCCUUUGCCCAGAACACCUCUCUGUGUGCUCACCUAGGGCCACUGGCUGUCAUAUCCUGAUUCACCAACCCAAAAGGGGGCUGGAGAAGGGAUCCUGGGAAACCACUGGGCCACGUUCAGUCUCCUCCCAAGGAAUUUGAAACAUCUUUGGCCAGAGCACGAAAAAUAUCUUCGAUUUCCUGGCUGGAGAGCACAGCUCUGCCUUUGGAUAUCACACACAAGCUGGAGAAAGCUCCACAAGGCAGUGUUUUCUCAGCUUCGCACCAUCGGUUCCUCUCUGUCUGUGGCUGGAUGAAACCAGAAUGACAUCAAAGACCAUGAUGAUGGAGCCAUGAGAUGGAAUCAGACUGCUUGGAAGAGAGUACCUCACCUGUAUCCAUCUUUGAUGGGAACCAAUUGCUGCCAGUCUUCAGAAUAAAGGAGGCAUCAACCAGGAAAGGCUAGUGGAGAGACUAGACUUCACCCUCACCUGGUGCUCUCAUCACUCUUAUUCAACAAGUACUCAAAGUCCUAGCCAGUGCAAUAAGCAAGAAAAGGAAAUAAAACGCGUACAGAUUGGAAGAGAAUACACCUCUCUAUUUGCAGAUGACAUGAUGGCCUAUAUAGAAAAUUUCCAUAAAUCUACAAAAAAAAAUCUA